AAAUAUGUAUUGUCAUAAACCUUACUCUCGCAGUUGUAGAAGACUAUUUAUGUAACAAUGUAAAACAUCAUGAAGACCGCGAGGAAUCACUUGCGUUGGGUCAUUCCCUUCUUAUUUACGUGUUUGUUUAAACGCAAGAGAAAAAGUCCGGUCACGUGAUAUGCAAAUUAGCCUGUGGCAGUGUUGUUAUGCUAAGUCAUAGCUGCGCCGGGGUGUGGAAAAGUAGCCUCUUAC